AUACGUAGGGAGCAAGCGUUGUCCGGAUUUACUGGGUGUAAAGGGCGUGUAGGCGGAGUGAUAAGUAAGAUGUGUAAUCUGGUGGCUCAACCACCAAACUGCAUUUUAAACUGUCACCCUUGAGUAUCGGAGAGGCAGGCGGAAUUCCUAGUGUAGCGGUGAAAUGCGUAGAUAUUAGGAGGAACACCAGUGGCGAAGGCGGCCUGCUGGACGACAACUGACGCUGAGGCGCGAAAGCGUGGGGAGC
rnacentral:rRNA from 1 species